ensembl:lncRNA
AUGGUAGAUCUAUUCCCUGACUCCUCACGAAGGGCUGGGUUCUCUCAGGAGCAGGAGGUAUCCACAGUCCACUGCUCACAGGACCAGGCUGUGACCAUCCCAGAGAGGAAGGGCUCCAGCCCUCGCAGACCCAAGCCUUGGAGGAAAGUGGAGCGGGGCAAUGCAGUGCUGGACCGCCGGCUCACACCUUCCCUCCCCCUCCCCUCCUCCACGCAUGCUCCACCCCUCCCUUCCCCUACCCUUAUCCAUGCAUGCUGCAGCCCAGUCACUCCUCUCCCCGCAGCGUUCCGGCAGACCAUGAUGAUAGCGUCUACUUUAUGGAGCAGCUGCAUGGGUUUACAGCAGGCCUGCUCUCGUGAGGUGCUGGUCAGCUUCUCCUCAGUGAUCUUGGUUGCAAUUUGGAGGAGCAAUGCAUCUCCAUUUAGUGUGAGACCAGGAGAGGACGAUCGGGUUUUGGGGCCAGGCUCAGCGUCACCAAAGGCAGGUGAUUGUUGUGGGAGGGUGGGGUUCUUUCACUUGUUUCAAUAAAUUCCCCAACAGUUAGUUACCAGCUGGUGGUGACACCACAUGGCAGAGCAUGCCUUCCCUUCCCAGACCACACCUGCCUGCCAGGCUGACGGGACAGGACGCACCCACAGGUGCAGGGGGCCUCCCUCCCAACAAGGAAGCCCCAGCCCAUGCUCACAGUUGCCUAAAAACCUGAGGCAAUGCAUGGCAGAGCGUACCUUCCUCCCAGGAGGGCACAGCUGGACAUCCCUCUCACCCCUGGCCUUUAGUGGGGCCAGGUGAUCCACGCCACCCCUCACUGUGGCUCAUUCCCAGGCCCGGCCCUGAAAAAGCCUCCCAUGCUGUCCUCCCCGUUCUUCCCUCCCUGACAACAGCCCCACCUGGGAGCAGGAAAGGAGGGGGCAGGAAAUGUGGGUUCAGUCUUGGCGGGAGCACGCUGACUGCACACUGGAGUCCCUGCUGGGAUGGCCUGAGCAGUGCUCUGGGAUGCUGCUGAGCACACUGGCCUGGCCCACACCCCCUUCCAGAGAGUGUCAGCCAACCAAGAAAAAUGCCUCCCUGCAGAGCACAUCUGCACAUUCUGCUGGGGCAACAUGAACCCUGAGCUUGGGUUUGCUCAGCGUAGGCUGUCACUUCCUGGUGACCCUUGGCCACAUAGAAACUCUCACCUGGGGAAACGAGCAGGUCCAUGCCAGGGGCUCACCCUGCCACAAGCCACACCUGCCUGCCAGGCUGACAGGACAGGACCCACCCACAGGUGCAGGGUGGCUCCCUCCCAACAAGGAAGUGCCAGCCCAUGCUCCCAGCUGCCCAAGGGCCUGGGGCACUCG